UUGAUUUUAUUUUGUUGGUUUCUAGGAUCGACGUAAUGAUUAAUAGGGAUAGUUGGGGGCAUUAGUAUUCAAUUGUCAGAGGUGAAAUUCUUGGAUUUAUUGAAGACUAACUACUGCGAAAGCAUUUGCCAAGGAUGUUUUCAUUAAUCAAGAACGAAAGUUAGGGGAUCGAAGACGAUCAGAUACCGUCGUAGUCUUAACCAUAAACUAUGCCGACUAGGGAUCGGAUGAUGUUAAUUUUUUAAUGACU
rnacentral:rRNA from 1 species